rnacentral:rRNA from 1 species
GUAGGGAAUAUUGGGCAAUGGAGGCAACUCUGACCCAGCCAUGCCGCGUGCAGGAUGACGGCCCUCUGGGUUGUAAACUGCUUUUAUACGGGAAGAAAAAAUACUACGUGUAGUAUACUGACGGUACCGUAAGAAUAAGGAUCGACUAACUCCGUGCCAGCAGCCGCGGUAAUACGGAGGAUCCAAGCGUUGUCCGGAUUUAUUGGGUUUAAAGGGUGCGUAGGCGGAUCUUUAAGUCAGUGGUGAAAGCCUGCAGCUUAACUGUAGAAUUGCCAUUGAAACUGAAGAUCUUGAAUGUGGUUAAAGUAGGCGGAAUGUAUCAUGUAGCGGUGAAAUGCUUAGAUAUGAUACAGAACACCGAUAGCGAAGGCAGCUUGCUGAACCAUUAUUGACGCUGAGGCACGAAAGCGUGGGGAGCGAACAGGAUUAGAAACCCCUGUAGUCC